rnacentral:rRNA from 1 species
CCUACGGGUGGCAGCAGUGAGGAAUAUUGGUCAAUGGACGAGAGUCUGAACCAGCCAAGUAGCGUGAAGGAUGACUGCCCUAUGGGUUGUAAACUUCUUUUAUAUGGGAAUAAAAUGUUCCACGUGUGGGAUUUUGUAUGUACCAUAUGAAUAAGGAUCGGCUAACUCCGUGCCAGCAGCCGCGGUAAUACGGAGGAUCUGAGCGUUAUCCGGAUUUAUUGGGUUUAAAGGGAGCGUAGGUGGAUUGUUAAGUCAGUUGUGAAAGUUUGCGGCUCAACCGUAAAAUUGCAGUUGAAACUGGCAGUCUUGAGUACAGUAGAGGUGGGCGGAAUUCGUGGUGUAGCGGUGAAAUGCUUAGAUAUCACGAAGAACUCCGAUUGCGAAGGCAGUUCACUGGACUGCAACUGACACUGAGGCUCGAAAGUGUGGGUAUCAAACAGGAUUAGAUACCCUUGUAGUC